CAGCCGCCACGGUAAUACGUAGGGCGCAAGCGUUAUCCGGAAUUAUUGGGCGUAAAGAGCUCGUAGGCGGUUUGUCGCGUCUGCCGUGAAAGUCCGGGGCUCAACCCCGGAUCUGCGGUGGGUACGGGCAGACUAGAGUGAUGUAGGGGAGACUGGAAUUCCUGGUGUAGCGGUGAAAUGCGCAGAUAUCAGGAGGAACACCGAUGGCGAAGGCAGGUCUCUGGGCAUUAACUGACGCUGAGGAGCGAAAGCAUGGGGAGCGAACAGGAUUAGAUACCCCUGUAGUCCCUGUCUCUUAUAC
rnacentral:rRNA from 1 species